GCCCGGCCGGGAGGAUGUGUGUGUGCGUGCGUGUGUGAGUGUGUGUGCGCGCGCCCUGGGGGCAGGGAGGCGGGGGGCGGCGGCCGGCGGCGGAGCGCGGGGGCUGGUUCCUGGUCCUCCGGAGAAGCCAAGAAGAUUCCCUGCAGCCUGCCAGAGACGUGGUAGCUGGCCUGCCAAGAGCUAUCCUGGAGGGCUAUUGAAAGAGCCUUGAGAUCCCAUCCAGGAUUCCACAGUGCAUUUGGUCGUCUUGUCUCCUUAGUCUCCUUCACUUUGUGACAGGUCCGCCAUCUUGCCUUGUUUUUCAUGACACUUCUAAGUGUACUAGUCAGUCGUUCCAUAGAAUGUCCCCCACUGGGGUCUUUCUGAUGUUUUCCAACAGGGGUAGAGAAGAACUGCGUUCUUGUGAAGAACCCCCAGAGUUGUGUACCCUCCCAGGCAGCAGGUCAGGGGCUGUGUGAUGUUGUAUUUCACUGCUGUAGUUUUAACCAUGAUCGUGAGGUUAAGAUGGUUUCUCCAGGGUUGUCCACUCUAAAGCUACAACUUUUCUAUUUGUAUUUCCUAAAUGUUUUUUUGAGGGGGGGAAGUGAUACUUCAAGAUGAUGUAAAUGUGCUUCUCUGCUUCCACUUCUGUCCACUAAAUUUAGAACCUAUUGAAGGAUCUCACUCGUGCCAGUGAAUAACUGUGGUAAUCUAAUAGUGAUUUUUUUAUGUCCCUCAUUCUCUCUACAUUAAUUGGAAGUCUUCUUAAGGAGGAAUUGCACGAUGUUACAGUGUGAUAAAGCAGAAAUUAAAAAAAAAAAUCCAUACUCUUUUGGAGUCUAAAUUUUUGAUGGGGAGAUAGGUAAGCAAAAUAAACAAGUGACUUAGGUGGUAUUUUAAAUGGUGACAAGGACAGAGAGAAAUCAAAUGAGGGGAGAAGGGACGUCUCUGGCAGUGCAGAUUUCAAUGGCCUGGUCAGGGAAGGACUUAGAGAGAAGACUUGAAGCAGAGGAGGGAGCCAGCAUGUGAAUAUCUGGCAGGAAACUUUCUAAAGAGAAGAAACAGCAAGUGCAAAGGCUCUAAGACAGGACCACGUUUAGCCUAAGUGUUCUAGGAAAGCCAGGAGGCCAGAGUGACUGGUGCAUAGUGAGCAAAGUGAGAAGGGGAAUGAGAGUACGAAGCAAAGAGUGACAGAGCCAGAUGGAGCCGUUGUGGGGACAUUCUAAUGACCUGGCUAUUAAUCUGAAGGAGGCAGGAGCCAUUGCAAGAUUUUGAGCAAAGGGGUCACAUGAUAGCUUCAAAUUAUUAAAAGAUCACUUGGACUGCUCUGUGGUUAGCAAGGAUGGAUGCAAGGAAACCAUGUUUAGGAAACUAUGGCAUUCAUCCAGGUAAGAAUGAUAAGUGGCUUGGACCAGAAUGGCAGCAAAGAGCUGGUGGGGAACUUUGGAUGUCUUUUGAAAGGAGAACUAAUUGUGCUAAGAAAGGUCUCCCUGGUGGCCAGCAGCUUCCUGAAACCCCAAGGACAUGUAUCCUCUCUCUUCCGCUUUGAAGUGGGGCUUCAAGAACAAGAUUGAGAAGCACUGGCGGGCCACCUCAAGUCUAAGCUCCGCAGGCCCUCAUCAGAGCCUUCUGUGAUCUCGGUCUACCUUCCUUCCCUCUCUGUACUGCACCACACGCUUCUCUCUCUCCCAGGGCCAACCUUCUGCUCAGACCAACCCUCCACGUUUGCUCACUGUCUCCUACCCUUCUUCUGCCAAACGAGAUCCUUCCCAUCCUCCGAGGCUCAGCUUUGCCACACCCAGCCCCACUCGAGGAAUACCUUCCCUCUUGGCUGGGAACACUAAUUGACUCUGCUUCGUUUGUGCAGCCCCUGGGACAGACACACCCUCAAACACCCCUGAGGCCUCGGGGCCCCUUAAAACACGAAGACCGGCACCCGAAUAUUUCAUCAGCCUGGUGGUUGGUGUGCUGGUAUAUGGCACAUGGUUGAAUGAAAAUAUUAUGUUUCUUUGUAAUCAUCUAAGUACAUGUUACUUCACAUAUUCCUAUUUGUUUUCAUGUAAAAAUAGUGUUUCUGCCUCUCCCUCUGCCCAGCCCUUCAAGUAAAAUUA